AUAUCUACGACAGUAGUGUAACCAGUGUGAAUAUUGGAACGCGACCCAUAUCAACGAAACAACACUUGAUUGCACCUAUUAGCAAUAAAACAAUAACAGCACAAGAAUUACGCAGUAAAGUGUAUUCCUCCGCGCAAUUUCUUCAACAGGGUUACUUUUUCGAUAAUACUUUGGUGAGAAAUAAAUUCUAGGCAAGCAUUUCAAGCGCUUUUGCUCAGCCGGCUGUACGUGGAGAUAUAAAUUUUCAGGAAUACAAACACAAACAGUCCGAUUCAUUGCAAGAUUUGAUGAUAUUCUUUGGUUAGCUAAUUAAAAAAAAAUCGUUUAAUUUAUAAAUAAUUAUAUUAUUCAUCAAUUACUAGAUAUGAUGACAUGGCUUCUUCUAAAGAAAAUAAUGGUACAAUUUCUCCUAAGUUAUCUCCACCAAUGCCAUGGUUUGGAAUGGACAUUGGUGGAUCUUUAGUAAAACUUGUUUACUUUGAGCCUAUUGAUUUUGCUAGUGAAUUAGAAUCUGAAAAAGGAGCUUUGAAAAAAAUUCACCAUUAUUUAACCACUAAUUCUGCUUAUGGCUCAACAGGAAAAAGAGAUGUACAUCUUCAGAUGGAUAAUGUUUUGAUAGGUGGUAGAGUUGGAACUCUACAUUUUGUUCGUUUUCCAACUAGUGAGAUGAGUGUAUUUUUACAAUUAGCUAAAUCUAAAGGAAUGUCCUAUAUGGCUAGCACAGUUUGUGCUACUGGUGGUGGUGCAUUUAAAUUUGAAGGAGACUUUCGAAGAGUGGUAAAGAUGGAGCUUCAUAAGUUUGAUGAAUUAGAGUCUUUGAUAAGAGGAAUAAAUUAUAUUAAUGCUUAUAAUAAACCAGAAUGCUAUUAUUUUAUUGAUCCAACUGAUGAUAGCAAGUGUAAAAGAGAAGAUUUUGAUUUACAUAAUUUAUAUCCCUUUCUUGUUGUUAAUAUUGGCUCUGGAGUGAGCAUUCUAGUGGUUUAUUCCCAAGACAAUUUUAAAAGAGUUUCAGGAACAAGUUUAGGUGGAGGCUCUUUUUUAGGACUUUGUUGUUUACUUACUGGUUGUGAAUCUUUUGAAGAAGCUAUUUCAUUAGCAGAAAAGGGGGACAACACAAUUGUUGAUAAACUUGUGCGAGAUAUAUAUGGAGGCAGUUAUGACAAAUUUAAUCUUGAUGGUGAUGUUGUUGCUUGCAGCUUUGGACAUAUGGCUAGUUAUUCCAGAAGAUGCAAAGCCUCAAAAGAAGAUUUAGCUCGAGCUACAUUAGUUACUAUAACAAACAACAUAGGAUCCAUAGCAAGAAUGUGUGCACUGAAUGAGGGAAUUGACAAAGUUGUCUUUAUUGGAAAUUUUCUAAGAGUUAAUAAUUUAUCCAUGAAACUAUUAGCCUAUGCAAUGGAUUUUUGGUCAAAAGGAGCUCUGAAAGCUUUAUUUUUAAAACAUGAGGGUUAUUUUGGAGCUAUAGGUUGUUUAAUGGAACUUAUGAAAACUGGCACUUAAGUUUUGUAAAUAUGUCUAUGAACAUUUAAAAAUUGUUCUGAUUGAGACUCUGUAUUGACAAACCUGAAAUCAACAAAACAAUAAGUUAAAAAGUGUCACACAUAGUGCUAAUGGAUGAAUUCAUGAUUGGAAUACUAUAACACAGAACAUCUAGAUCAUUUGUUAUAGGAAAUUGGUAACGUCAUUUUUAAACAUAUCUAAGCAACUAAAAUGUGUUGAAGGCUUGUGUUGCAAGAGUAGUGCAACAUCAAAUGAACAUGGAAAUGUUCUAUGGGCAUUCGUUAUGUAUUUUACAUUGAUAGAAGCUAUUUAUUUUUAUUUGUUGCUAUAAACAAAGUUUUCAUUUAAAACUUAUUUUCAUAGAAUAUUUAUGAACUUUAUCAUUUAUUCAUUUUAUAAUGUUUUUUAAAUAUGUGCAUUGUUUUGUUAAAAAAUGGAUAAAUGCUAAUUUUGUAUAAAAUUUGGCUGGUAUCUGUCAUAUGCAAAUUUGUAAAUGAAAUUUUUCUUGUAAAUCUGAUGAAGCCAAAUUUUUUUUAUAUAGUAU